rnacentral:siRNA from 1 species
UGUUCUCAGGUCACCCCUG